UAGAUGGUGAUAGAAGAAUGCAAAUUUAAUCAAAGCAUUGAAGAGUUAGGAUGUGUUCCUUUUACCGUUGAUUAUCCUCAUAAUGACACAUUGUGCAGAUUUUGCAAAGACUGCUUAAAUCAAACUAGGAUUGGAGAAAACUGCACAGAUUUGUUAAGAAAGUAUAAUCAGCCUUGCGAAAACAUUCAAUAUAGUAUGAAUACGGAAGAAAAAAUUGUG